GAUGAACGCUGGCGGCGUGCCUAAUACAUGCAAGUCGAGCGAACGGACGAGAAGCUUGCUUCUCUGAUGUUAGCGGCGGACGGGUGAGUAACACGUGGAUAACCUACCUAUAAGACUGGGAUAACUUCGGGAAACCGGAGCUAAUACCGGAUAAUAUUUUGAACCGCAUGGUUCAAAAGUGAAAGACGGUCUUGCUGUCACUUAUAGAUGGAUCCGCGCUGCAUUAGCUAGUUGGUAAGGUAACGGCUUACCAAGGCAACGAUGCAUAGCCGACCUGAGAGGGUGCUCGGCCACCCUGGAACUGAGACCCGGUCCAGACUCCUACGGGAGGCAGCAGUAGGGAAUCUUCCGCAAUGGGCGAAAGCCUGACGGAGCAACGCCGCGUGAGUGAUGAAGGUCUUCGGAUCGUAAAACUCUGUUAUUAGGGAAGAACAUAUGUGUAAGUAACUGUGCACAUCUUGACGGUACCUAAUCAGAAAGCCACGGCUAACUACGU
rnacentral:rRNA from 1 species